rnacentral:rRNA from 1 species
GACGAACGCUGGCGGCGUGCUUAACACAUGCAAGUCGAACGGAAAGGCCCUGCUUUUGUGGGGUGCUCGAGUGGCGAACGGGUGAGUAACACGUGAGUAACCUGCCCUUGACUUUGGGAUAACUUCAGGAAACUGGGGCUAAUACCGGAUAGGAGCUCCUGCUGCAUGGUGGGGGUUGGAAAGUUUCGGCGGUUGGGGAUGGACUCGCGGCUUAUCAGCUUGUUGGUGGGGUAGUGGCUUACCAAGGCUUUGACGGGUAGCCGGCCUGAGAGGGUGACCGGCCACAUUGGGACUGAGAUACGGCCCAGACUCCUACGGGAGGCAGCAGUGGGGAAUAUUGCACAAUGGGCGGAAGCCUGAUGCAGCAACGCCGCGUGCGGGAUGACGGCCUUCGGGUUGUAAACCGCUUUCGCCUGUGACGAAGCGUGAGUGACGGUAAUGGGUAAAGAAGCACCGGCUAACUACGUGCCAGCAGCCGCGGUGAUACGUAGGGUGCGAGCGUUGUCCGGAUUUAUUGGGCGUAAAGGGCUCGUAGGUGGUUGAUCGCGUCGGAAGUGUAAUCUUGGGGCUUAACCCUGAGCGUGCUUUCGAUACGGGUUGACUUGAGGAAGGUAGGGGAGAAUGGAAUUCCUGGUGGAGCGGUGGAAUGCGCAGAUAUCAGGAGGAACACCAGUGGCGAAGGCGGUUCUCUGGGCCUUUCCUGACGCUGAGGAGCGAAAGCGUGGGGAGCGAACAGGCUUAGAUACCCUGGUAGUCCACGCUGUAAACGGUGGGUACUAGGUGUGGGGUCCAUUCCACGGGUUCCGUGCCGUAGCUAACGCUUUAAGUACCCCGCCUGGGGAGUACGGCCGCAAGGCUAAAACUCAAAGGAAUUGACGGGGCCCCGCACAAGCGGCGGAGCAUGCGGAUUAAUUCGAUGCAACGCGUAGAACCUUACCUGGGUUUGACAUGGAUCGGGAGUGCUCAGAGAUGGGUGUGCCUCUUUUGGGGUCGGUUCACAGGUGGUGCAUGGCUGUCGUCAGCUCGUGUCGUGAGAUGUUGGGUUAAGUCCCGCAACGAGCGCAACCCUUGUUCACUGUUGCCAGCACGUUAUGGUGGGGACUCAGUGGAGACCGCCGGGGUCAACUCGGAGGAAGGUGGGGAUGACGUCAAGUCAUCAUGCCCCUUAUGUCCAGGGCUUCACGCAUGCUACAAUGGCUGGUACAGAGAGUGGCGAGCCUGUGAGGGUGAGCGAAUCUCGGAAAGCCGGUCUCAGUUCGGAUUGGGGUCUGCAACUCGACCUCAUGAAGUCGGAGUCGCUAGUAAUCGCAGAUCAGCAACGCUGCGGAAAUACGUUCCCGGG